GGGGUAUUAGCUCAGUGGUAGAGCAAUUGACUGCAGAUCAAUAGGUCUUCGGUUCAAAUCCGGAACGCCCCU
rnacentral:tRNA from 1 species